AACGAACGCUGGCGGCAUGCCUAACGCAUGCAAGUCGAACGAGACCUUCGGGUCUAGUGGCGCACGGGUGCGUAACGCGUGGGAACCUGCCCUUAGGUUCGGAAUAACUCCCCGAAAGGGGUGCUAAUACCGGAUAAUGUCUUCGGACCAAAGAUUUAUCGCCUUUGGAUGGGCCCGCGUUGGAUUAGCUAGUUGGUAGGGUAAAAGCCUACCAAGGCGACGAUCCAUAGCUGGUCUGAGAGGAUGAUCAGCCACACUGGGACUGAGACACGGCCCAGACUCCUACGGGAGGCAGCAGUAGGGAAUAUUGGACAAUGGGCGAAAGCCUGAUCCAGCAAUGCCGCGUGAGUGAUGAAGGCAUUAGGGUUGUAAAGCUCUUUUACCCGGGAUGAUAAUGACAGUACCGGGAGAAUAAGCUCCGGCUAACUCCGUG
rnacentral:rRNA from 1 species